rnacentral:rRNA from 1 species
GAACGCUGGCGGCGUGCCUAAUACAUGCAAGUGGAACGCAUUUAUAACUACCGUAGCUUGCUACAACUGCUAUAAAUGAGUCGCGAACGGGUGAGUAACGCGUAGGUAACCUACCUUUAAGCGGGGGAUAACUAUUGGAAACGAUAGCUAAUACCGCAUAAAAGGAGCUAACCCAUGUUAGCUUUUUAAAAGGUGCAACAGCAUCACUUAAAGAUGGACCUGCGUUGUAUUAGCUAGUUGGUAAGGUAACGGCUUACCAAGGCUUCGAUACAUAGCCGACCUGAGAGGGUGAUCGGCCACACUGGGACUGAGACACGGCCCAGACUCCUACGGGAGGCAGCAGUAGGGAAUCUUCGGCAAUGGGGGGAACCCUGACCGAGCAACGCCGCGUGAGUGAAGAAGGUUUUCGGAUCGUAAAGCUCUGUUAUAAGCGAAGAACAGGAGUAAGAGUGGAAAAUUUACUCUAUGACGGUAGCUUAUCAGAAAGGGACGGCUAAC